rnacentral:rRNA from 1 species
UACAGAGGGUGCAAGCGUUAAUCGGAAUUACUGGGCGUAAAGCGUGCGUAGACGGUUACAUAAGUCAGAUGUGAAAGCCCCGGGCUCAACCUGGGAAUUGCAUUUGAGACUGCGUAGCUAGGGUGCGGAAGAGGGAAGCGGAAUUUCCGGGUGUAGCGGUGAAAUGCGUAGAUAUCGGAAGGAACACCAGUGGCGAAAGCGGCUCUCUGGAACGGUACUGACGCUGAGACGCGAAAGCGUGGGGAGCGAACAGG